ensembl:lncRNA
CAACAUUGUGGGCAGACACUGACAAGGGCCACUCAGCUCCUCAUCUGCAUUACAAAGAUCUGCCAAGAAAGAGAAGGAGUUGGAUGUCAGCCAUACAGAAGGUCGCAGAUAGAAAUACAGAAAGGGAUUCAGUGAUAUUUACAAGCCCAUUAAGUACAGAUAUAGUUAAAGCCUGGAGUUCCUGUGAAGCUACCAAUUUUUUUUCCCAUGGCUGGCUUUCUGGAAUGAUGAGACCUCAUUCCUCACCCUCUUUCUCUCUCCUCUUGCCCAUCCCACUUCCUCCAGCACUGGAUGGACUGUUUAGGCUUUAACAACUCUGGAGACCUAUUAUGAUCUACCAGGUUCUAGUAACAAGACUCAUGUCCAGGCAAUGUGUAGUCAGUUCACAUGUGGAUAUGGAUGGCACAACAUCUAGGGCUUUUAUAGGAACGUGCAGAGAAAGAACACAGAGUCGGGAAUCUGAAGCUACUUGAGUUCUGAGCAGCUGGGCCAGUGAGUGGAUGAAAUGCUGAUGGGCAGGGGAAGCCAUGUCAGCCCUGUGUCUCCACAGCAAGCUGCCUAAGGAAAUUUGUCUGAGGAUGAAGCCAGCAACUGAAAACAAAUUAGAGAUGGAGGGACCGAGUCCGGGAUGUUGCUUGAGCCCUGUGUGCAGGACUGCGGAAGCCAGCUCUAGCCCCUUUGCAAGUCUUGCUUAUUGACUCUUGCUCUUAUGCCAGGAACUAGGAGGAGGGACCACAUGGAGAGAGGGGUAAAGGAGCAAACAAGGAGACGCUCAAAGAAAGUGGGGGACACAUGAGCAGACCCAGACACCACCUUGGAAAAGGCUGCCACUGGUAAAUCUAGG